GCCAGGCAUAGUGGCAUGUGCCUAUAGUCCCAGCUACAAGGGAGCUAAGAUGGGAGGAUUGCUUGAGCCCACAAGUUCAAGAUCAGUCUGGGCAACAUAGCAAGAUCCUGGCUCAA
rnacentral:sRNA from 1 species